rnacentral:tRNA from 1 species
GUGGCUGUAGCUCAGCUGGUUAGAGCACCUGGUUGUGGUCCAGGGGGUCGGGGGUUCGAAUCCCCUCAGCCACC